rnacentral:rRNA from 1 species
AGGACGAACGCUGGCGGCGUGCUUAACACAUGCAAGUCGAGCGGAAAGGCCUUUCGGGGGUACUCGAGCGGCGAACGGGUGAGUAACACGUGAGUAAUCUGCCCAUCGCUUCAGGAUAGCCAUCGGAAACGGUGAUUAAUACUGGAUAUGACAUUCCUUCGCAUGUUGGGGUGUGGAAAGUUUUUUCGGCGGUGGAUGUGCUCGCGGCCUAUCAGCUUGUUGGUGGGGUAAUGGCCUACCAAGGCGACGACGGGUAGCCGACCUGAGAGGGUGACCGGCCACACUGGGACUGAGACACGGCCCAGACUCCUACGGGAGGCAGCAGUGGGGAAUAUUGCACAAUGGGCGAAAGCCUGAUGCAGCGACGCCGCGUGAGGAUGACGGCCUUCGGGUUGUAAACCGUCUUUCAGCAGGACGAAGCGCAAGUGACGUACCUGCAGAAGAAGCACCGGCUAACCAGUCGCCAGCACGCCGC